rnacentral:rRNA from 1 species
GAUGAACGCUAGCUACAGGCUUAACACAUGCAAGUCGAGGGGUAACGAGAGGAAAGCUUGCUUUCCUUGUCGACGACCGGCGCACGGGUGAGUAACGCGUAUCCAACCUGCCCCCAACUAGGGAAUAACCUUGCGAAAGUAAGACUAAUACCCUAUAAUUUCCUCAGAUGUCAUCUGACGAGGAAUAAAGAUUUAUCGGUUGUGGAUGGGGAUGCGUCUGAUUAGCUUGUUGGCGGGGUAACGGCCCACCAAGGCAACGAUCAGUAGGGGUUCGGAGAGGAAGGUCCCCCACAUUGGAACGGGGACACGGUCCAAACUCCUACGGGAGGCAGCAAUGAGGAAUAUUGGUCAAUGGGCGGAAGCCUGAACCAGCCAAGUAGCGUGCAGGAUGACGGCCCUAUGGGUUGUAGACUGCUUUUAUACAGGAAUAAAGUUAGCCACGUGUGGUUAUUUGUAGGUACUGUAUGAAUAAGGACCGGCUAAUUCCGUGCCAGCCGCCGCCGUAA